CCUCUGAUGAGGGCCAUUUAUCAACCUUACCCAUAUGAAUCAUGGGCGUUGUUAAGGAGAAAACAAACUAAGGAGAGGCGAGGGGUAAACCUUGCUGGGGCAUCCUGGAGCUGACGUGCAAUUGUCACUUAGACAUUACAAACUGCUCAUAGACUCAGCAACAAUCUUUAGGAACCUUGGUUUUCACAUGUGACCAUGAAAGCAAGUCAAUGAUAGUAAUUCAGGAGAUUGGGAAAAAAUAAUGUGUUGGUGAAUGAUUACUUCGAAAGAGAAUUGCCAACAUACUGGAGCUGGACAAGUGGACUCAUCCAUUGGAAAAUGUCCAGAAGGUAAGGCCAAAAUCAGUUUGACAUCAAAUUUUUUCAGCAUUUUAUCCCAGAAUUUGUGCCUCCUCCUUUUAGUUCCAACUCUUUCCCCUUCCCCCCAGAGAAUUCAUUGGUUAAGUCCCAAUGCUUUUCAUAACUGA
rnacentral:lncRNA from 13 species